rnacentral:misc_RNA from 1 species
UACGGAGGAUCCGAGCGUUAUCCGGAUUUAUUGGGUUUAAAGGGUGCGUAGGCUGCUUUGUAAGUUAGAGGUGAAAUUUCGGUGCUCAACAUCGAACGUGCCUCUGAUACUGCAGAGCUAGAGACCAGUUGCAGAAGGCGGAAUGUGUAGUGUAGCGGUGAAAUGCUUAGAUAUUACACAGAACACCGAUUGCGAAGGCAGCUUUCUAAGCUGGAUCUGACGCUGAGGCACGAAAGCGUGGGUAUCGAACAGG